AGCUUUGCGCAGUGGCAGUAUCAUAGCCAAUGUGGUUUAUCUGAGGUGCAAUUAUUGCUAGAAGGAUUGGAAGUUCAAGGACAUGGUUUUGGAUAUGUCAGCAAUUUCUUCUCUAUCACCAUAG
rnacentral:snRNA from 1 species